UCGUGGAUAGGCCGCCAUUACACGUGAACUGUUGUGGCGGUUUUGCUUUGUUACAACGGUUUCGAUACGUGGUGCACGCCGUUCUCAUUCCUGGCGUCAAACCAUACCGCAACUCGGAUUCUGUCAUGAACAGAGGUAACCUCCUCUAGUUAGUUAACCGCUACGUCUCGAAUAAUGCCAAAACAAAAAGGACGAACUUUCCGCCGACACAUUCAAAAGCGCGUGGAAGAAAGCAUUGAGCUCGUUGAAAGUGUCGGUAUCGAUUCUUAUGAACCGGGCCACGCUAGCGGUGACAGAGACUCAACGCCUGAACUGUCGUCUGAUUCAGAUACAAAUGUAGAAGGUCUGGCUAGCGAGUCUCCAACUAGCCCGGCUGACUACAGAGAUCUAACGCCUGAAAUACCGCGUGUAUUAGACACAGACGUGGAAAGUUCUGACAGCGAGUCUAAUUCGAGCAAUGAUAGAGACGUAGAGGCUGAUGUACCAUCCCUGGGCUUCAACGUCUCGCCGUAUUCGUUCGUAGAGACUGACUCCCAGUCGGGUUUGUCGGGGUCACCGCAACGAGAUGAUGCUGUGCGAGCGAAUCCUACGCUAAGAGACGAUUUGCGUGACUGGAGUCUCGAGUUUCUCGUUACACGCGAUGCUUUGACCGCCCUUCUGAAACGGCUUCGCAACCAUGGCCACCCUGACCUCCCGUCCACCUCGAAGACACUUCUCAGUACUCCUCGUGAUUCAUCACCUGUAAUAUCACUGAGUGGGGGUAGAUAUUGUCACUUCGGUUUGGCUGCUGGAAUUCGUCGUAGCCUGACGGGUAUUGCAGAUGUGCCAGCUUUAGUGGAAAUCAUCCUAAACGUAGAUGGGCUUCCAUUAGCGAAGAGUGCACUCGACCAAUUUUGGCCAGUUUUAUGCAGGGUUGUUGGCUGUGGUUCUGGAGACCCAUUUCCAAUUGGUGUUUUCUAUGGUAAGAGCAAGCCACUAGAUGCAAAUGCUUUCUUGCGUCCAUCUGUUGAUGACAUCAAGCAGGUGCUUGAACAGUCUGUUUCCAUUAAUGACAGGACUGUUGCUGUGGCAUUGAAGGCCCUUGUCUGUGAUGCCCCCGCAAAGUCCUAUGUGCUGUCUAUCAAAGGGCAUACAGGGUACUAUAGUUGUACAAAAUGUGUUACCGCAGGCGAAUAUUUGAAGGGCCGUACCUGUUUCCCUGACUUAAAUGCAGAACUUCGUACUGAUGAGUCCUUUAGAAGCCGGAGCCAGGAAUGCCACCACACAGGUGUCUCAAUUCUGGAGGAGCUGCCAAUGGACCUUGUAGCACAAGUACCGCUUGAUCCCAUGCAUGUGAUUUAUCUUGGGGUGUGCAGGAAGCUGCUACUCCUGUGGUUUCGAUCCCAGAAUCAUUUGUUUAGCAGAUCAGUACAAGGAGACAUUUCGGACAAACUUGAGUCAUUGCGAGCUUUCACCGCAGCAGAGUUCAAUCGAAAGCCACGUCGUCUUGACGAGGUUGAACGGUGGAAGGCCACGGAAUUCAGGUUUUUUGUCUUGUAUGCGGGCCCGGUUGUCCUAAAUGGUGCACUUCCACCAAGCUUUUACAAGCAUUUUCUGGUACUUCACUGUGCUAUCAGUAUCCUUUCAUCACAUACCCCCAGCAGUGAACUGAUGGACUAUGCGCACCAGCUUUUGAAGCAUUUUGUGGAGUCUUUCAUUAUUCUCUAUGGAAAAGCCCAUGUUUCACACAACGUACAUGCUUUGCUCCACUUGACCUCUGAUGUGAGACGCCAUGGCCCAUUGGAGGAGUGGAGUGCUUUCCGCUUUGAGAACUUCAUGCAGAAGCUAAAAAAGCUCAAGCGAAAGCCAGAAAAACCACUUGAACAGCUUUAUAACCGCAUCAGCGAGGAGAACAGAAUGCCGGUCUCCGUUUCGGUUAGGUUGCCUAGGCUCUUAUUAUCAAGAAGACACACAGAAGGCCCACUUCCACUUGGUUGCAAGGGACCACAGCACAAAAAAGUUGUCAUUGACAAACUUGUACUACGCACGAAGGAGCCUGACAACUGUUGUGUGAUGCUUGACGGCAGCAUAGUUCAAGUAGAAAAUGUAGCACACACAAUGUCAGGUUCAUGCUGCUUGGUGGGAAGAAAGUACCUGAUCAAGGAUGACUUCUACACUAAACCAUGCCGCUCCUCGCUACUGUCUAUUUAUGUGGUGUCCCAGCUGUCCUCCUUGCACGUUUGGAAAAUUAGUGACUUGAAACGCAAAUGCAUGAAGUUUCCUUUCGAUGGGAAGUUUGUGGUCUUUCCUCUUCUGCACACAUUCUAGAAACCCUUUUGCAGGUGCCGCAGACUAUGGCCUGCUUUUGGCAUUAUCUCAGUUUUUGUAGUACUGUAUGGUAUUUUUCUAUGUUUUCUUGGAUUUGUUUCGGAUGGCUUCCUACGCGAGUCAUCCACGUUUGUCUUGCAUACCAUUUUCUGGCCUUAUUGAUAAUGUUGUGUACCAUGUCCUGGGUUAACUGUCUGGUGCUGACAACCUGUUGCAUCAUAAACAAGACACAGGGAAAAGAAAUUUGUUCUUGCCACAUUUAUCGCAGCUUGUGUACUUUUAUGCAGACGGCCGUUCUUUCGCAAUAGUCAGAUUUACUGACGAAAAUGAUGAGGUGGCCGUUGUCCCCAGCAGUUGGAUCGUUGAUAAUCACUGCAUGUGGCCACCAGUGAAAAGCUCUCAAAUCCCAAGUCUUGUAAGGAGAUCUGUUCAUCCGAUGCCAAACUGGGCUGAGUGCCCAUGCAAGCCUAUGGAAUGGUUUGGAUCAUAUGAUGAAGCAAGGAUAAAACUUCCAUUUGCUGUGGAGACCUCAGACUUGUGUACAGAGAAGGUACUACCGCCGAAAAGGAAACGUGCAAGGCGUCGAAUUUCCUCGGGCGAUGAUUCUGAUGAACUCUCAGAUUCUGGUCUUCCUCUGUUUCCCUCACCACCUUAUUCUCAACGUCACACAGGA